GACAGAGGAUGCAAGCGUUAUCCGGAAUGAUUGGGCGUAAAGCGUCUGUAGGUGGCUUUUUUAAGUCCGCCGUCAAAUCCCAGGGCUCAACCCUGGACAGGCGGUGGAAACUACCAAGCUGGAGUACGGUAGGGGCAGAGGGAAUUUCCGGUGGAGCGGUGAAAUGCGUAGAGAUCGGAAAGAACACCAACGGGCGAAAGCAUCUGCUGGGCCGAACACUGACACUGGAGAGACGAAAGCUAGGGGAGCGAAUGGG
rnacentral:rRNA from 1 species